UCAGCUUCCUGCAUCCUCCAUAGCCCCUGAAGUGUUAAUCUGAAGAAACAGUUCCAUGAGUUUCCACAGGCCGGUAGUGAGUCUCCUACACUUGACCUAGACAGACUUACAUAACAAAGCAUCAGUGCUGGGGAGCUUGUACGAUGUCAUCACCAGCAAGAAUAAGAAGUAUUGGCAGCAGCAAGCAGGCAGGCAGGCUGGGAUUUUGCAUGGAAAUCAUGAACCCUGCAUUGUUUUUCUCCUUUGAAAUGUUUUGGAAGGAGAGUUAUGAAUAGCCCAGAAAUAGGUCUCAUUUUGUGGGUGGGAAGAAUGACCAGAAGCAUGGAAGCUAAAUCUUCCAGCAAGUGCAAGGUACCUCUCCUGGAGUGUGCAGUAAAACCGAGAGGAGGAAUUGCCUUCUGUGAACUUCUGGAGCAUCACAUCUGGAGUGAAGAGGACGGCGAGGCAGUGAGUGCAUAAUGCAAAGGACGCUGCUGAGAGCUUUGGUCUGCUUUUAACUCAUUGUGGCAAAGUUGGACAUCCCAAAGAUGGCAUAGAUGAACAUGACCAGGAAAAGCAGGAGGCCGAUGUUGAACAGCGCAGGAAGGGACAUCAUCAGAGCAAAGAGCAACGUGCGGAUCCCCUUGGCGCCUUUGAUGAGGCGAAGGAUUCGGCCAAUCCUGGCCAGGCGGAUGACUCGGAACAGGAUUGGGUCUGACCAUGUAAACCUUGCCCUUGGCUGGACUGGAAAUUGAUAUGUACAGGAGGUGGGCCUGAAACUCAGAGAUCUGCCUGCCUGGGCCUCCCCAGUGCUGUGAUUACAGGUGUGUACCACUCCAGUUGCUCCACAUUUUAAUACUAUCCUUUGACUUUUAUCGCUAUCAAACUGAGUAAAUUACUAAUUGUAUAUUAAAGUCUAGUGUUUAGUUUCUCUGAAUCCUUCGAAUUUUAAUUUUUAAACACAGUUAUAGCAAUUAUCACAGCUGUAUUUUCAGUCUAUAACUACCACCAUAUGAAAUGUUUCACUGAUAAUUUUAUGGAAAUUACAAAUUAAUUUCGUAAAACUAGUCACUGGGUCUGGAGAGGUG